rnacentral:lncRNA from 1 species
ACGUUGCACAAAUGGAUCAUGUGGCAUUUACUACUGUUGUAUUAUCAUAUCUAGCAUCUCUCUAUAAAAAAUAAAUCUAGCAUUAGUUUUGAACUUCUGAUGAUGUAAGGUAAACACAGAGGCAUAUCUUCGUCAUAGUUGCAUCCUUUAUAGCAGAGAUUUUGUUAUGAAAAAAUUAUUUUGUUGAUGGAAGCCUUUGUGCUUCUGUCACUUGGACGUGAAGUUUUUGUAGACAAUCUUAGGACGUGAAGUGGGAUGCAACAUCUAUAGAUCUACUGACACUGAAAGGUGGUUGUUAGUUAGGUUCUGAUUGUGCCAAUCAAUAAUACACAAUUGUUACUAGGGUUCGGCUACGGAUGCCAUCCAUCAACUCAUGUUUUAAAGUGUGCUUGUGAGAUGCAAUCCGAUCUCUCUAUCUUUCCCGCUGAGAUGCAGAGGAGCUCGGUGUUUUAGGGCCUGGCUGUUGCUGCAGGGGAAGGUGGAGCUGCGAGGAAACAAGACAGGUGGACAAUGCGACAGGAAGCAAGAAUGAAUUUCUAAUCAAUCUACUGUUUCCCUUGAGUCGGGGGGAACGUACCACGCACCACGUUGUGUUUAUUGAUCUGGAAUCCUAGAGGAUCACCCACCCUCGUAAUUCAGUAUUGAGAUGAUCUCCUUAAUUUCUCAAAUGUGUUUUAUUAAAUUGGAUUCCUGUAAUUAUCCUUGCUCUAAUUUGAUAGUUUUACCCUCCCGAGCAUGUUGUGCUUCCAUAAAAACAUGAAUAUUUCUCAGCCAUUUUAUUGAAAAUGUAGUCGUAUGCUUUCACAUUGACUCUGGAUAUUCUCCUAAACGAAGGUCAAGAACAAUUGAUUUUAUCGGCAACAGGAGGCGCUUAUCAGUCGCCAUCAAGUGCCUCAACCAGUGCGGCGUCCAGGUACACACAUUGCUUCAUCUCCUGUGCUAUCUCAUCGUCUAGACAAUAUAUCCAUGGGUGACCCCUAUACUCACCUCAUCUCCAGAUUAGAACAUAAGUGUCGUAGGAGGGUAGGAUCUAGGCAACUGCAGUACUGAUUGUCCAGCUAGGCAACAAAGUCGACGGGGCAAAUAACAUAAUCUUCAGAUAAAGUUAUAUUCGAAAGUCAGUAGGCUUUUCAUGAUUGCCAGUGGUAAAACAAGCAUAUAUUUCUUUUGAUUAUUGACAUAGCACAGCUUAGUAGGGUGGACCAACCAACAUUGGGUUUGGGAGGUCAUUUAAUAGGAAACACUUCGCUGCAAGUUUCUUCACCAUUGAACACAAUUCAUCACAAGACUUUAUAUAUGUUGGCUGUCAUGCAUGUACGUCUGCAACUAAAUAAUUACAGGAUGUUGUGUGCUUGUUCUAUGUCCAGCAGUAAAGAUGUUUGAAGUUUUGUACCAGUUUCCAAUAGAUCAUUUCCUACAACAAUAUUUGUUUUGCAAUCCAAACAAGUAAAUGUCUUGUAAAGAAGUAGAUGUUUCUACAUAUCAACACACCAUUCAAGUUAUUUACAGAAUGAUUUUCUUGGAGCGUUCAUAAUUUCAUGUAUGUUUACAUCAUUAUUCAUGUGUGGGUUGUAUUGUGUUUUCUUUCGUGGGGUGCCGGACACGCUACUGACGGUACUAGCAUGUUUGGGCUGGGGAGACAGAGAUGGUAUGCGGAGUAAGAAGAGUGAUUUAAGGGGAGAGAAAUCAUAACAGGGGUUGGUGGAGCAGAAGAGGGUGAAGGAAGACUUGUGGGGAGCUGCGAGGAAUAGAUUUUGGGGUAUGUUACUAUUUUAUGUGUGAUAUCAGUUCAUAAUUUACUGCAGCGGUCAGUUCUCUACUUUCUAUGUACUAGGUUAAUUCUAUUUGCUAGCCUGAAGUGUUUUUUCUAUAGCAACUAAAUAUUGUGAAAGUAACCCUGAAACAUACACACAUCUACUAAAUGCAAAAUUGUUUCUCUGUUGGUACGAACAAUCAUGUAGAUUACUGCAUGUAGUUUCGUUUUGCACACAACAUACUCUCCAGUAGUGCUGAAAUUAGAAUCUCAAUCCCUGUCCAUUAUACAAGAUGCAAAAGAGUUCAGAAUAAGAUAUCCAUCAUCAUAUUCACGCAUUUUCUGUUGUAAUAUAUAUUUUGUAUUUGUGUACAGGUUGACACAUUACACAUACAUACAGUAUGUCUAACUUAUGCAGAAGAAAAGGGGCCCUUCAUAUAAAUUAUUUGCAUGCUCAUAGUUAUGAACUUAAUACACUUUGCCUGGCAUUCAUAACCAUUAUACUUCCUCCUGCCCAAAUUUGUUGUCCUACGUAAUAGUGUUCCACUUUGCGCCUACCACUGGUAGCUGGAAAUUAGAUAUAAUAAUAAUCAGUUUCCUUGCUAGAUUUGUUUCCUUAUAGGAUAUCCUGCCGAUUUGAUCUAUUUUUGGCUAGAGCACAUGGGAUCAAACCAGAGGUAAUCAAUUUUCUAUGUUCACCUGAUUAGUUAUAAGGAAUUUAUUACCUCUGUUUUAUUUCCAGGAUACCCAAACCAGUGGUAAUGUUUUUUAUGGCUUUGAAAUUCUGUACAAGGUAUUCUCAUGUCUAAAUACUAGAAUUGUUUGUUCAUUGCUAAAUUGUUAAUGAGGGGUCCAUGUAGUGCUCUCAGUGGAGACACUAGACCAUCUGAUGUUCAUUUAGACAUUUCUAUUCAAACUUUCAAAGUGAUUGUUUUCUUUUUGUGUGUCCACACAGUUGUUUGUGUGCAUCCAAUAUAAAACUUGCUAUGAAUUUGCACCACCUACACCCUUUUUCCAUGUCUUAGUCUAUAUGAAUUACCCACUUUAUAUACCGCAAAAAGAAAUUACCCACUUUAUAAUAACUCACAUGUUAAUUAAAAGGAAAAAGAUCUGAACCAUCGACACUCUAUAAGUUAAGUUGUUCAACUAAAAUUUAACAAAGAGAUAUUUGAUUCCAUGGAUCUCUAAUUUUUCUGCAGUGUUGUAAUUAUAUUGUCUCGGGUGUUGUUGUACGUUCCUUGUAUCAUGUUGACUUACUCCUUGAUCAAUAGGGAUGUGGAUACAAAAUUCCAUUUUCCACUACUUAUAUUAUCCUCAUUGGACCUUAAGCUAUAAUCAUCGGUUGUUGUUGUGUGUCUGCCUGCCUGGCAAUGUUUCACCUCUAUUUUUGACCUACUGUUGACUUAUUUGGAACCUGAGAAAGAAUUAUUUUACAUGUUAGAGUACUCUCAUAUGUUCGAAGUCAUAAAACCAGCUGAGAUAAUGAAAUAAUGCCAGGUAAUUACUCGUGGUUUCAAGGUUGCGCAAAGGAGAGGAGGCAUGGUUAUAGGUCCUCGACAACAUCUGCGCCUCAUAGGUCAGCCAUGAUUCUCGGAUUUUUUUGUUCUGCUGUUAUUCCCAAAGAAACAUCGUAGUUCUUUUGGAUGGUGAAAGAUUAUUCAGUUACUGAAAUACUUCUUAUCCAAAGAGCUGGGAAUAUUUAAAACAUCUAAAUUGCUUAUCUCAACACUAUAAUAGAAAGUACUAUCUCGAAAAUAAUAACAAAACACCGUGAUAAACUGGGCACCGAAGCCAUAUUGACACAGACCCAUGAUCAAUGAUAUGUGAGCCAAGUCUUCCCGUGAACUUACAGCCACCCAUUGAGUGCAUGAUUUCUUCCAUCUCCUUUUCUUUUGUUUUCCAGGGCAGAUAUUCCACUGUGCAUCGUAUUUGACCAUACUUAACCAAGUUGAUUCAUAUCAAUUAGUAUCUUUUGGUUUUCUUCCAGUUUAUUAGGCAUGGACCCAGCCACAAAUUCUGAAGCUUCAAUAAUUUGGGUGGUCUAAUAGUUCCUGUAUAGCUUGAUGUCAUAUCAGGUGUAAUAUUUUGUUGUUGCUUGAUGUUGCAUCAAGACAAGCUAGGGUCAACAAGGAACAAAGGGGUUGACACAUGGAGAAGCGGGAGCAUAAAAUUCAAAAGGUACUGAACAUGUGUAUGGAUUACACCGGUGAGUGAAUGGUGUGGCACAUUGAGUCAGAGAGGAGUAGUUGCUUGUCUGGUAUGAAAAACAGUUGUUUCUCGAUUAGAUUAAGGCCAAACUUAUCUUCAACAUGUGUGGUCUUUCAUCACCAUUUUAAAAGAGGUUCAAUGCAAAAUCCUAAGACUGCCAAUUUUUACUAUAUUGGAAGUACUUUAUCGAUACGUUUGGAACAAUUCUCAGAUUCCAUGAAACAUAUUCGUGGCACCAAUUUUAACUAAAGAAUAAAUCAAUC